AUUAUUAUUAUUAUUAUUAUUUAUACUAAUAUACUAAUUAUACUAUACUAAUACUAAUAAACAAGCAAACAAGAACUUCGCUAAGUACACCCGGCAACUUGUCCCACAAAACGCACGGAACAAUCAACACCACACAAUUAUACCCGCGCAUCUAAAUCUAACAGCCAUCAUUCAUUUGCUGCCUGUACGGUGUGGACUUAGGAAAUACCCUUGACUGACCGUGCUCCACCUCCAGCACCCCCCAUCCACCCCCUACAAUCACGCUGUACUCCAGGUAAAUAAGGAAACAACAUUAAUUCGUCAUCACACCACGCUGAUCUCCUGGUAAAAUAAGGAAACAAAAUUAAUUCGACAUCGCACCGUCGCACCAUCGCCAAUGUCAUCGCCAUUGUUGCCGACCAACGUGGAGACCGUCCGCGAGCAGCGUCGCUUCCUUCCCCGAGGUCGCCAGGGCAGCGACGCCACAGAACUUCUAGCAAGGUCGCCAGGGCAGCGACGCCAGGGAACACCCAGGAUCCUGCCCUCGCAGCGUGGCAUCCCUACGGGAGAUCCCCACUGGUACAGCCCGCCCUGCCCGUCGCAGCCAGCCGGAUACACGCAGCUGUAAAAUUCUUCUCUCCACUUUAGUCUAAACUUCUUCCUUCGACCUGCUUCUUCCUUUGACCUGUUGCAUCAAUACUCCAAUUUGUUAUUUUCAGAAUAUAUAGUUCUAAAAUAUACACGCGCGCACAUCACAAUACUACACAUCUGUAUCGAUUUCCAGCCUAACUGAUACAUGCAUCCUAUGUCCUAGACCUGGUGUGAACUAAAAUAGCCAUUCAUAUUUUAGAGUUGUGGUUUCGAAGUUAUUUGUAAAUUUAAUCCAUAUGAACAUUAUUCUUUUACUUACUUCGUUAACAUAUGUGCCAAUAUGUUCGCACCAUACCCUCAGGGCCAUUACCUUGACUGUCCAUUCUAGAUAAUUAAGCUCCAAGGCACUUGAUCAAUUGACAACUGUAAAAAACAGGUUGCAAGUGCAUGUGAUGCCUACUUACUUUCUGAUGAAGUCAUAACCAUCUGCAUACUUGGUUGCCUGAUUUUAUUUUAAAUGGAGUUGUAUGCGUUGGUAAGAAAUUAAGGUGUUUGUAAACUUGGUGAGACUAUCUUGACGACAAAGGGAGGGGACAAACUAUAGCCGCUCUUAUCCCCUUAGAGGGAGAGGUUAGGAGAGAACAAACCAUGUCUUUAGUCUAAACUUCUUCCUUCGACCUGCUUCUUCCUUUGACCUGUUGAAUCAAUACUCGGAAUUGUAACUUUCAGAAUAUAUAAUUCUAAAAUAUAAACAUGUGCACAUCACAAUACUACACAUCUGUAGCUAAUGUUUAUUGACCUGUUGCAGCAAUACUCAGAAUUGUAAUUUUCAAAAUAUAUAGUUCUAAAAUAUACACAUGUGCACAACACAAUACUACACAUCUGUAGCGAUUUCCAGCCUAACUGACACAUGCAUCCUAUGUCCUAUACCUGGCGUGAACUAAAAUAGCAAUUCAUAUUUUAGAUUACAUCUAGCAGUGGGGAUAAAAAAUAUAGCUUCAUUGUCCCAAGUAGAUACGUCAGGAUAAAGAAUAGAAGUUAAUUUCCGCACCAAUAAAUCACAAUUUCUGUACCUGCCAAAGCAACAUUCUAUGUUUGCGGCUCAACGGCAGGGCCAAUAUCAUCUUCUGCCUUCUGUUUUUGUGUAAGUGAACAGGAGGGCCAACCACUGAGAGUGGUCCUGCAAGGAGACCUGUCAUUACAACUUCCUAUUAAUAAUGUAAAUACGACUUUGAUGAAGCACAUUAUCAACUUCCCAAUUUUUUAUGAUAGCAAUAUUCAUAUGUAGGCCAAGGGUAUGUCAUCUCCCAAGAGUGCGGGAGCGCGCACCCCAUUUCAGGAUCUAAAUAACAACCGACUAUUGGGUAAUUAUCGUCAGCCUUUUCCUAAAAAUGUCAUACUGUAUUUGUUGGUGCUUAUAUCCUAACUUGCGGUAUGUACUUAUAUCCUAACUUGCGGUAUCUACUUAUGCAGACCCCAAAGAAUUGAAGAAGCAGAGGAACAGAGAGUACUAUGCACGCAAUAAAGAUGAUAUCCUUAAAAGACGGCGUGAGGCCCGUGAGAAGAAACAGGCUUCAACAACACUGCUUAACGUCGAUCAAAAUGUACCUCAUACACCCCAGCCGUUGGCCCGAGGUAAAAUUUCCCUUACACUGCAUUCUUAUGUAUUGGUCCAAAAACUUAUAAGAUGCAUGCACCAAACUAACAACAAUAUGUCAUAGAUAUGGACCCUAACGAACUGCAGAGCCAACUGGUUGGGAUACAGUAUUCACAGAACAUAGAUGGUGUCUUCGAGAGACAACAUCAAGCCUAUAGUGAUAUUGAAAUGACCGGUGUGGAUGGCGAUGUCAAUGAACAAGAAAAUGAAACAGUUACACCGGUGCCCAUGUACAUCGGUAAUGCUGAUCAACAAAGUAUAUACAACCCUAUGUGUUCAUACUAAUUAACUUUAUUACACAUAUAUGCAGACCCUAAGGAGUUGAGGAGGCAAAGGAACAGGGAGCGGUAUGCACAAAAUAGGGAUGAGAUAUUAAAUCGACAACGCCUAUCCCGUGAAAAGAGAAAAAUUAGUACUGGCCUCAACGAUGAUAACACUGUGUCGCAAACACCACCUACAGGACAAUCCGGUGUCACCCAGCUACAUAAAAUGACAGGUUCGGGUGUACCAUAAAAUAUACCUUUUGGGUGGGAGGUCCUGCAUGUACUUGCAUGUUCACACCUCAUCGAAUAUGCCAGAAAAAAUGGGUACUCAUGUGGUGCUGCAAUUUUAUGGCAGGCUUGUCAAAUAUACAAAUUUCGUCUCAUGAACAAAUCCCAAUCGACAAGGAAAAUUAUUUAACCUGCGAUGAUGAAUCCAAUUGGUUGCAUAGGAAUGAUGCGUAUCAGAGGCAACUAAUAGCAGGAAGCUCAAAAGGUAAAUUUAACUGGCUUUGCCUUCCGGUCCAGCCACCAUUCUGAUUGUAAUCAUCUUCUGUGCGAAAAUUAAUUGUACAUGCAGGACCUCCCACCCAAAUUUCUGGAGUUCAGGUACCACAAAUGAGCAUAAUACGUGAGCCAGAUUUCAUAACUGAGCAUGCUGGUUAGUUCGUCCGUGCAGUUAUGAUGUUGGGGCGCCCACAGUGUAUAUUUGAUAAAAAAAUCCCUGAUUUUCGAUUGUUUCUUCAGGUAUACAACCUUUUAGCGGAUCCAACCAACUUCAAAAUACGCCGGAAUAUGAUACGAUCCGGCCUGCGCAACCGGAUCCACUAGGUACUAAUAACACUACUAAUAUGAUAUGGGAUUUUGAAGAUUCAGCAUGCUUAUGCUCUACUAAUCUUAUGAUUUUUUAUAGUGGGCAAUGACCAGAAAGAUGAUCCAUAUGGGAUUUUUGAACCUGUUGUUGAACUAAACAACUUACAAGGUAUAUUGUAUAUACUAUCAUACACACAUACAGGUCAUCAUACAUAAAUUUGAGUCAUUUCUGUAUGACCAAUAUAUUCCCUACUAGACUGCUUGGAGCCAUUGCAUAAUGGAGAAGCUGCAUACCAUGAGCCUGAUGAAGAAGCUAGAAUAUUUAUGGAUCAGGGUAUGUGCACUGCGUAUUUUCUAAUUUACCAAUCUAAAAUGCACAUAUUAUGGGUAUUUACUGAUAAAAUACAUGUGUUGUCCUGUGCUAGAUGUUGCUUUUGAAUCGUACCAAAUUGGACAGCAUCCUACCCGAGCAGUACCCGUAGCAAAUACCGAUGACUUCAUAUACCGAAACCUACCUACAAGGCACCAUGUCCUAAGAAAGGUUGCGGACUGUCGCCACUGUGGGGCGUUGCGGUUUCCAUUCGAGGGGCCAGCAUUUUGUUGCAGAAAAGGAAAAGUCGAUUUGUUUACUCCAGAUGUUCCAGAAGAGUUGAAACGGUUGUUUACAAGUCAAGAUGAUGAGGAUGCUAAGUACUUCAGAGAACAUAUACGGUAUUUCAACUCGCACUUCUCAUUCACAAGUCUAGGCGUCACCCUUGAUCGUCGAGUAAGCACUGCGGCAGGAACUGGCAUAUAUACAUUCCGUGCAUGUGGUGGGCUGUACCAUGCUCUUGACAAUCUGGUGCCGGCUAAUAAUGGCCCUCGACAUUUGCAACUCUAUAUUUAUGAUACAGAUCAAAACUUGGUACACAGGGCUAAUAGGUCUCCAGAUCUUAAUAUAGACCUCAUACGAAAGAUUCAGAAUACUACAGCAUAACCCUUAUGCGCAAGUUUUGAAGAGCCUAGGGUCUAUUCCGAAUCUACAUGAGUAUAGAAUCUCACUAAACACGGAUAUCAAGUUAGAUCAGCGAAGGUACAAUGGCCCUACGACUUCCCAAGUGGCAGCCAUAUGGGUUGAAGGGAGUGACCCACAAAAUUGCUUUGACAGGAGUGUUGUUGUGCAUGGAAAAACAGGAAACCGACCACUGUAUAUUAGAGAAUACUAUGGGUGCUAUGACCCAUUGUCAUAUCCACUGUUUUUCCCACGUGGAGAGACUGGCUGGAAUCGUUGCAUGCCAUAUAUUCGGCCACAAGAUGACACGAACCAAAAUUCAAUACAUACUCCUGCAUUGCAAGGAAACCAAGCCUCUGUCGAACAUAUAGGUAUGAUGUUCACUUUUAUUUUAUAUACAAGCUAUUUGUGAAGGAUGAUGACAGCUUUUAUGUAUCAGUUGAAGACUUGAUUAAAGAAAGAGAAGAAGAUGGUAAUUUGGCACUGCAUGAAGCCGGUAAUCAUGCACCACAAGGAAACCAAGCCCCUGAAUUAUAUACAGGUAUGAUGUGAACUAUUAAUUUAUAUACUUUCUGUUUUCCACAAUGAUGCUCAAAACUUGUGUUUUCAUAUACAUCUGUCAUAUCUAUCAGAUGGGAACUUCAUUAGAGAAAUAGAACAAGAUGGGAAUUUUACAGCGCAUGACGCCCAUGGCACUGAUUUACCUUCGGGUAUUAUUCACUUAUUCUUCAAUUAUUAUGUUGUCGAUCAUUAUGAAUAUUGUUGAUGACUACAAGUCCACCCACCUUAUUGAUAUUGAUCUCAAACUUGUAGAUGACAAUGAGGAUAACCCAGAUGACGAAUUUGGUGACAAUGAGGUCAAUGCAAAACAAUCCAGAAAAUUUGUUAGUACUAGGGAGUACUACUGCUUCAAGCUGCAAGUCAGGAGGAAGCUUUUUAACAUCAUCUUGUUCGGUCAUCGCCUUUUCCAACAGUGGGCUGUUGACAUGUAUAUCAAGAUUGAAACUAUGCGACUUGAUUGGUACUCAAAGCCGGAAAAUCAAAAGGUUAUACGCGCUGACCUCUACCAGGUAGUGUUCUUGUGUUUAUUUUAAUACAGCAUAAUGCAAUGACAUUAUGGACGUUCCAAGAAUUUGUAUAACGUUCUAUGCUAUUAUAGGGUCUUGUUGACACCGUCGUUGUCGGCGAGUCACGCGGAGAUCGAAUUGGGAAAAGAAUUGUGCUUCCACGUACAUUUCCUGGUGGUGAUCGCGACAUGCAACGGAGGUUCUUGGAUGCUAUGGCAAUAGUGCAGCGGUGGGGUAAACCGGAUUAUUUUAUCACGAUGACGUGCAACCCAUAUUGGGAGGAGAUAACCGAUAAGUUGUUGCCUGGACAGCUGCCGCAGGACCGUCCAGACCUGGUGGCAAGAGUAUACAAGGCUAAACAGUGAGAUAUGAUGGACUUACUAACUAAGGGUAAGCAUUUCGGAGAAGUCGCAGCCUAUGUACAUGUAACUGAGUUCCAAAAGCGAGGUCUCCCGCAUGAGCAUAUACUUCUAAUCAUGAAAGUAAAAAGCAAGUUAUCGACACCAGAUGACUAUGAUUGAGUGAUAUGUGCAGAGAUACCGGACAAAGAGAAACACCCCGUUCUACAUGAACUGGUCGUCAAACACAUGCUGCAUGGACCAUGUGGCGAGUUGAAAAAAAUUUGCCCUUGCAUGAUUGAUGGUCAGUGUCGGUUUCAUUACCCGCGAGAUUUUUGUGAUGCCACACAACAAGGGAAAGACUCAUAUCCCAUCUAUAGGCGGAGGGACGAUGGGCGUCGAAUUAGGAUCAGAGGAGCAGAUUUGGACAAUAGGUGGGUGGUCCCUUACAACCCUUCACUACUUAUGCGAUACAACUGCCAUAUUAAUGUGGAAGCAUGCUCGAGCAUCAAGGCAGUCAAGUACUUGUUCAAGUACAUCUACAAAGGUCAUGAUCGUACAUCCUUUGCAUUCGAGCAGGAUAUCAUCAAUGAUGGUGGAAUCAUUAAUGAAAUCCGACAAUAUAGGGAUGCACGAUACGUAUCUCCUUCAGAGGCUAUUUACAGGAUUUUUGGUUUUAAAAUGUUUGGUGUCAGUCCAUCUGUGCUACAACUCCAGCUUCAUUUGCCAAAUAUGCAUACAGUUGCAUUUAAAGCAUGUGAGAAUCUUGCAGAUGUUGUAGCUCGACCAUCUUCUUCAAAGUCCAUGCUUACAGAAUACUUUGAGAUGAACCGGAAGUUUCCAACUGCACGAAAAUGGUUGUACGGAGAGUUUCCAGAACAUUAUAGAUGGAUACCUGGAAAUAAGAAGUGGCAGAAUAGAAGAAAUAAGAGAUCACAGAUUGGAAGACUUGUGCAUGCACACCCUGCUGAAGGAGAGAGGUACUACUUGCGUGUGCUCCCAAGUCAUGUCCGAGGUGCCACUUCAUUCGAUGAUUUAAAAACAGUAAAUGGCAAGCCAUGCAGUUCCUUCAGGGAGGCAUGUGAGCACUUAGGCCUUAUUGAGCACGACAGGACUCUUGAUGAUUGCAUGACGGAGGCAGCCACAUUGCAGAUGCCUUCUGCCCUAAGACGGUUAUUUGCAACUAUACUGGUGUUUUGCGAGGCAACAGAAAUCCGGCAGCUGUGGGACAAACACCUGGCAUCAAUGUCUGAGGAUUACCGGCGUAAUCAAUCCAAUGAGGCAACACUUGAGCAGAUGGUCCUCAGAGAUAUCAGGGAUAUGUUGCAAUCCAUGGGAAAAGAUAUUACAAGCUAUGGACUUUCGAAUUUGGUUGAGAACGAUGGUUCUUCUGACGGUGAGUACAAAGAGGUAAUAGAGGAGAGGCAAGUCAGCGUGGACAAAGAACACCUAGAUUUAUUUAGUAGUUUGAACAAUGAACAGCUGGCUGGUUUCAAUGAAAUAAUGGAUCAUGUGAUGGAACACAAAAGCCAGAUAUUCCUUGUUGAUGGUCCAGGAGGCACCGGCAAGACAUACUUGUACAAGGCAUUGCUUGCAAAGGUGCGUUCGAUGGGCCAGGUAGCGAUUGCAACUGCUACAUCAGGUAUAGCGGCGUCAAUAAUGCCCGGAGGACGGACUGCGCACUCCAGGUUCAAAAUUCCAAUCAAGCUCACUGACAACAGCAUGUGUAGUUUCACAAAGCAGAGUGGUACAGCGGAGUUUCUUAAACAAGCCUCCUUGAUAAUUUGGGACGAGGUCGCUAUGACAAAACGUCAAGCAGUUGAGACGCUUGAUAGAUCCCUGCAGGACAUAAUGGACUGUUCUUUGCCAUUUGGGGGAAAGGUUGUCGUCUUUGGUGGGGAUUUCAGGCAGGUCCUCCCCGUUGUGACACGUGGGACAAGAGCACAGAUCACGGAUGCUACACUUCUAAGAUCCUAUCUGUGGGAGAAGACCCGGAAGAUACGCCUCACGCGCAAUAUGCGAGCACAAGAUGAUCCUUGGUUCUCUGAAUACCUCCUACGGAUCGGCAAUGGAACAGAAGAGACAAUUGGCGACGACUAUGUGCGUCUCCCUGACGACAUUGUGAUCGGCUAUACCGAGGAUGAGAAAGCUAUUAACACACUCAUUGACAAUGUCUUCCCAUCGUUGCAUGCCAAUGCUAGAUCGAGAGAGUAUAUGAGCACACGUGCUAUUCUUUCCACCAAGAACGAUCAUGUCGAUGACCUGAAUGACAAGAUGAUCUCCAGGUUUCCAGGCUCAGAAAAGUUAUACCAUAGCUUCGACUCCAUCGAGGAUGACUUGCAGAAUAAUUACACGAUUGAUUUUCUAAACUCGAUCACACCAAAUGGCUUGCCCCCGCAUGUGUUGAGAUUAAAGGUUAACUGCCCGGUCAUUCUGCUCCGGAACCUCGACCCUCAUAAUGGCCUAUGCAAUGGGACACGACUUAUGAUUAGAGCCUUCCAGGAUAAUGCAAUCGACGCAGAGAUUGUUGGUGGUCAGCAUGCUGGAAAGAGGGUCUUCAUACCUAGGAUCCCUAUGUCGCCCUCGGAGGACAUCUCACUUCCUUUCAAACUUAAGAGGAAACAGUUCCCCAUUCGCCUGAGUUUUGCGAUGACAAUUAACAAGGCGCAGGGUCAGACUAUCCCAAACGUCGGUAUUUACCUUCCCGAGCCAGUAUUCUCACAUGGUCAGCUAUAUGUUGCAUUGUCAAGGGGAGUGUCCAGAGAGACGACGCGGAUUUUGGCCAAGCCAAACAACGAGGUUGAUAAAUCUGGGAAAAGCACCAAGAACAUUGUCUAUAGAGAUGUUUUGGGGAGAUGAGGCAGGUGCGCUAUUCCGGCAUUUAUUUGCACCUUGUUAUUGUAUCUGUAACUACUUGUGGAUCUAACAUUAUUUGUUUUUAUUUGCAGGUUUAGCGAAGGAGAAUAAGCAGCAGAAGAGGAGGUAAGGUGGAUGAACACAAGGGUAUCUUCUUCGAUCGAGCAAAAGGUGAGAGCUCUGCUUCUCCAUCUGAUCGCCCCUGAUAUGUAUGUAAUGACCAGAUGGGGUACGCACGUGAUAUGUAAUAAUCAGAUGGAGUAGGCAUACAUAAUGAUAGUGCCUACACCUUUUUUCAGAUGAUAAGAGCAAAAUGUAUGCUACUGUGUUCUUUUUGAGCUUCCAUGCAUAAUAUUUUUCUAUGAGUAUAAUGUGCUAAUGUGCUGAUGUAUUGCAAUAUUUCAGGUUUUCAAGUUUGUCAGGUGAGAAACACUGCAUAGAAAAAAGGUUGAACAGACAUUCAUGGCAGGAAGAGGUAGAGGACAAAUUGAGUGUCGAGGUACUCCGUGAGAAAGAGGAUAAAGAAAGGAGUCAGCACAUGAAGAGAGGCACCCAAAGUUAAAAUGAUACAGUCCUAAUAACAUCAACAAUCUAUCAUAGUUAUUAGCUUUUGCUAUUCACUUGCUGUUUAGCCUAUAGUUCAGCAUCAGCUGAGAUUGUGCUCCACUUUUGGGCCAUCAGAUUUCCAUGUUCUGAUAAUUUACCGAAUGGGUUAUGUUUUAAUGUAACUGAUUUGGGUAUGCAACUGUUUAUGCAUAUAAUUCUGAAGAACACACAUCAUUGCUGUUAAUAAUAUAUUGUACACGACUUGCUUCUUGAUAAUGUCAAGCAUUAUUACUACUAUAUUGAACAUACGUCCAGGACAAAAGUUUGUUUUACCAGAAAAAUUUAAGCUGGUUGAAAUAACUAGCAUGUAUCUUCUCAUUGCAAAAUUUUAUUUUACACGUGAUCAGCAAUAAUAUAAUAUAAAACUUAAGUACGAAACUCACCACAGUGGAAAUCUGCUAUGUCAUCGUUUUAUCAGGCUCACAUCUCUUGGAACAACUUAAAGCAAUUCCCUGGCCCCUCCUGUCCAGCACAGCCACUGAACUAAACCUUCUGUAUCUGUAUAUAAAAAGGUAAGAGAAAACACACACAAAAUCAAAGAUACGUUCCGAUGAGCUGAAACCAAUAUUUUUGUAUUAAAAUGUAUCUACACUACUAUUAAAAGAGCAAACAUGAAUUCUCCUACAACCACACCACAAAAUGUACACAGGAUAACCUGCACCCCACGAUCAAUUACAUCUAAUGAAAUCUAACAGCACAGAUUCAUUCAGCGGUCUGCCAUCCGAUUGGAUGGCUCAGAUUCAAUGUUCUGCCACCCACGUCUGCCCCGCACACGUUCUGCCCUUCAGAUCGAUCGGCAUCACGAUUUUUUCUCGCUCAACGCCGCCGCACCUCCAUACGUCGCCCAACCCUAGCUCCGGUGGCUGCGCCGCCCAUGACGCUGACGAUUUCUACUGGGAUGUCGCGGACGAGCGAGGCGGAGUUCCAGGCCAUCAAGGCCGCCUACGCCGUCGAGUAGGCCAAGCCGCCUGCCCACGACACCGGCACCGGCGACGCCCAACACAUGGUCCCAACAGUCGGCGGUGCUACCUCGCCGUCAUGGAUCCUAGCCAAGGUAGAGCUCCCCUCUUCUUGUUUCCCAUAUCCCCUUUCUUUCAAAAUUCUGAACCCAAAGAUACAGAUCCACCGACGUUGCGCUUGGUCAUGGAAAUUGCAUCCUUGCACCAGUAUUAACAAGACGUCUAUAAUCCAUCUACCUGCAUGCUUAGGCUAGCCCUUGUGUACGCCGUGUUGCGGUAUGCUUCCAAUCGGUCAAGAAUAAAUCCAUCUUGUACGACGCAUACCUGUUGGAAAGCAUAAAGCACUCUGGUGAAUCACUUUGGGAGUUAAUGGUUGUGCCAAAACUUGGUACCAGAUCACAGGUUGUUCUUCCAUGAUUUUCAAAAAGCAAGCACAAGAUCAUGGUGUUACUGAAGUGAGAAGAUAAUUGAUCUAUAAUCCAGUUGUGUGUCAAGCCUGCAUCAAUAGUGUUGUAGUAUUGACAAAAACCAUGUCAAUGUUGCUACAUUUUCAUCACCAACAAUGAGAACCCGGUUUUGGUAAAUUAAUUUGUGUAAUAAUAUGUUCAUUACUGAUCCUGAACGAGGAGUAAACAGAUUAGUUUCUAAAGCUUCUCCGUUGGGAUGUGUAGGCCAGAAGGAUAGCUAGAGUCGCCGCCGUCGCUUAUGGAGCUCCACACCAUUGCCCAGUUGUACAAUAGCAUGUGCAAUCUUCUCCAUUCAAGACUAAGUGCAACUGAUGAACUCUUUGCCAAACAAGAAGAUAUGACUAUCAGGCAUAUAGGCCCCAUAAGGUAGCUAUAUAGUAAUUCACUUGUAGUAGUGUGGAUUAUGGUCACAUUUUGUCUAGGACUGCAGAUAUCUAUGUCAAUAAAAAUGGAUAUUCUGCAUAUUCUUCUGAAUUUUUAGUAAGGGCUCCAUGUAUAAGGUAUGCACUAUGCAGUAGUUCUGACCUGAAGCACUGAUCAAUUCUUCACAUGCAGGAACGUGGAGAGAUGGAUCUGGUGGAUUGUAGCCACAAGGUGAGUGGCUUGAUCCUUAAUUAAUCCAGUUAAAUUUCAUGGAUUAUUGAUUAGUUUUUUAGCAAGCAAAUUUCUGUACAUCUGAUUGGAGGGGUACUACUGUAGUAUGUGGAAGAAAGAGUAUGUCUGCACCUGAUGGUGAUCUGCCAAAGUUUUGUACUUUCUACGGUAAAUUUGUUACAUGAUAAUGAUAAUGAUAUACUGCAUCCGUAAAGAAAUAUAAGAGCAUUUAGAACACUAACGCUGUUAUAUUUCUUUACAGAGGGAGUACAUCCUAUACUGAACAGGAGCAAGACAGAAAAGAAUAAAAGAUUCUCUCCAAAUUAAUUACGGAUUGUUUCCUGUGAUUUUCAAUUCCAAGUAAUAAAGGAUAUAAGGUUACAAUUCAUCACCUGAAAAAACAGAUCUUUGUAGUCAUAGCUAUGUCUUCUCCAAGUGACCAUACCCUUAAGCAUUUGAUGAAAGUGGAUAUAUCAUCAAGAGCCCUGCAAGCAAAUUUAUCUACAACAGGAAACACACAAUGAUGACAUAUCAGAUAUUCACCUUCACUAUCUGAACUGUUUAAUGUUUACUUCCGCUUCUAAUGUUAGCUUAUCUAGCAAAUUUCUGUUAUUCUGAACAUCUAAUUGACUUUCAAAUAGUACAGGAGCGAGAUAUCCAGCUAUAAUUACAGUAGGGAUCGAUGCUAAUUAAACCUCUUGACACACUCAUUUGAAAGUCAAGUAUAUUUAUGCAGCGACGCCUUAUUACUCCUAAGAAGAUAUCAUUACUUCUGCCCAUAGGAAGAGAUAUUACACCAUCAGUUGAAUUUAGCUAAAUCUGCAGUUUUCAUUACAAUGCCUGAACCUUAUUUAUCUUGCUUCACAAAAAAAGAGAGGAUGAAGUACCCAUCUUCCAGUCAUCUGGCAAGCAACAGUCCAGUUCAUAUUGCAUACCUUCUUAGCAAGCAUUAUCGAGUGCCAUUGUAUCCUGAAUAACACAAUUUUUUUGAGGAACCGACAGGAGCGCUGCCUUUUCAUUAAGAAGGGGGAAAUAUGUAGAGGUAUCUUGAAUAGCACAUCACACAGAGGCACACCUAAUUGAAAUUACAUUUGUACAUUAGUACAUGGUAAACGCACAGAAUGAAUUAAAAUUUAAUUGCAAAGAUAGGAUAAUCCAGACACGAAGUAAUGUCUAAGGACUACGAUCAAAUCAGAAUUAAUCCUGAUGGUUAAUACAGCGAUGAGAAUUCAUUUCAUAACAUUAAUAUAUUAUUGACUUGUGCAAAUUGCAAAAUAAUCAAUCAGUACACUAGCUAAGGAAAGCUGGAGCUGAGCCGUGAGAAUCAAUUAGAGAGAUAAAAUGUGAGAACAUGCAAUGGUCAUAUCUUACUGGCUCCUACACAUCUUCGCGGAGGCUGGUGAACUGGCUGGGAGGUGGCCGUAUCUCACUGGCUCCUGCACAUCUCCACGGCUCAGCUGAAGCGAUCUAUUAUUAGCUCAUUCCACAAGCAACAGAGAGAAGGAAGCAACAAUUGAUUUGCUCAUACCAGUGGAGGCAUCGAACUGUGCCCAGAUAUUGUUGCGCACCCACGCCCGCUCCUUGUUGGCUUGUUGCGGGCCUCGGCGCCCGCCUCGCGCUGGGUCGCCUGUGAGUGCGCUGAGCUCGAGCGCCUCCUUGGGCACUUCGGCGAACGGAUUCGAAGAAGGACGGGGAAGAGCAGGGGCGGGGAAGUCGCGCGCAUCCGACGGAGCCUAACGCUAGGAUGCUCGCGAGCAUGCCGAGCUGGCCAGCUGGGGGACCUCCUCGGCCACUUGGGCGACUGGAUUCGAUGAAAACGCGGGGAAGAGAAGGGGUUGCGAACCUCUUGCUAGCGGUGGGGACGAAGGGGAGGGGUGGCCUGACGAGGUGGAGAGAGGGAGCUGGCGACCAAGGAAGAAUGGGGAACGACGGGGAGAAAUGUGAGGGGCGGUGGGAAGGUAGGUGACGGUGUGGCUAAUUGAAGGUAGGUGGCGAUGCUAGAUGCAUUGAUAUGGGUCAGGAAAAUUAUCAAAAGUCCAAUCGAUCC
rnacentral:lncRNA from 1 species